rnacentral:rRNA from 1 species
UAACGGCUCACCAAGGCGACGAUCAGUAGCUGGUCUGAGAGGAUGAUCAUCCUCACUGGGGCUGCGCCACGGCCCAGACUCCUACGGGGGGCAGCAGUGAGGAAUUUUCCGCAGUGGACGAAAGUCUGACGGAGCAACGCCGCGUGCAGGAGGACGCUUUUCGUAGUGUAAACUGUUUUUCUGUGGGAAGAGCGACGACGGUACCACAGGAAGAAGCCCCGGCUAACUUCCUGCCAGCCGCCGCGGUAAUACGAGGGGGGCAAGCGUUGUUCGGAAUUAUUGGGCGUAAAGGGCGCGUAGGCGGUUUGGCAAGUCUGUAUGUGAAAUCUUCCUGCUCAACCCCGAAUCCUGCAUGAGAAACUGCCGUGCUUGAGUAUGGGAGAGGUGAGUAGAAUUCCGGUGUAGCGGUGAAAUG